rnacentral:rRNA from 1 species
GCUAUANUGCAAGUCGANGAGUUCUGAUUAUUGAAAGGUGCUUGCAUCUUGAUUUAAUUUUGAACGAGUGGCGGACGGGUGAGUAACACGUGGGUAACCUGCCCUUAAGUGGGGGAUAACAUUUGGAAACAGAUGCUAAUACCGCAUAAAUCCAAGAACCGCAUGGUUCUUGGCUGAAAGAUGGCGUAAGCUAUCGCUUUUGGAUGGACCCGCGGCGUAUUAGCUAGUUGGUGAGGUAACGGCUCACCAAGGCAAUGAUACGUAGCCGAACUGAGAGGUUGAUCGGCCACAUUGGGACUGAGACACGGCCCAAACUCCUACGGGAGGCAGCAGUAGGGAAUCUUCCACAAUGGACGCAAGUCUGAUGGAGCAACGCCGCGUGAGUGAAGAAGGCUUUCGGGUCGUAAAACUCUGUUGUUGGAGAAGAAUGGUCGGCAGAGUAACUGUUGUCGGCGUGACGGUAUCCAACCAGAAAGCCACGGCUAACUACGUGCCAGCCGCCGCGGUAA